rnacentral:rRNA from 2 species
UAGGGAAUCUUCGGCAAUGGACGAAAGUCUGACCGAGCAACGCCGCGUGAGUGAAGAAGGUUUUCGGAUCGUAAAACUCUGUUGUUAGAGAAGAACAAGGACGUUAGUAACUGAACGUCCCCUGACGGUAUCUAACCAGAAAGCCACGGCUAACUACGUGCCAGCAGCCGCGGUAAUACGUAGGUGGCAAGCGUUGUCCGGAUUUAUUGGGCGUAAAGCGAGCGCAGGCGGUUUCUUAAGUCUGAUGUGAAAGCCCCCGGCUCAACCGGGGAGGGUCAUUGGAAACUGGGAGACUUGAGUGCAGAAGAGGAGAGUGGAAUUCCAUGUGUAGCGGUGAAAUGCGUAGAUAUAUGGAGGAACACCAGGGGCGAAGGCGGCUCUCUGGUCUGUAACUGACGCUGAGGCUCGAAAGCGUGGGGAGCAAACAGG